UCCGUAGGUGGCAAGCGUUGUCCGGAUUUAUUGGGUUUAAAGGGUGCGUAGGCGGUCUUUUAAGUCAGUGCUGAAAUACUCCAGCUUAACUGGAGGGGUGGCAUUGAUACUGGAAGACUUGAGUGCAGUCGAGGUAGGCGGAAUUGACGGUGUAGCGGUGAAAUGCUUAGAUAUCGUCAAGAACACCGAUAGUGAAGACAGCUUACUAGGCUGCAACUGACGCUGAGGCACGAAAGUGUGGGGAUCAAACAGG
rnacentral:rRNA from 1 species